rnacentral:rRNA from 2 species
UGGGGAAUAUUGGACAAUGGGGGCAACCCUGAUCCAGCCAUGCCGCGUGAGUGAUGAAGGCCUUAGGGUUGUAAAGCUCUUUCACCGGGGAAGAUAAUGACGGUACCCGGAGAAGAAGCCCCGGCUAACUUCGUGCCAGCAGCCGCGGUAAUACGAAGGGGGCUAGCGUUGUUCGGAAUUACUGGGCGUAAAGCGCACGUAGGCGGACAUUUAAGUCAGGGGUGAAAUCCCGGGGCUCAACCUCGGAACUGCCUUUGAUACUGGGUGUCUUGAGUAUGGAAGAGGUAAGUGGAAUUGCGAGUGUAGAGGUGAAAUUCGUAGAUAUUCGCAGGAACACCAGUGGCGAAGGCGGCUUACUGGUCCAUUACUGACGCUGAGGUGCGAAAGCGUGGGGAGCAAACA